rnacentral:rRNA from 1 species
GAUGAACGCUAGCGGCAGGCUUAAUACAUGCAAGUCGUGGGGCAGCAUGAAGUAGCAAUACUUUGAUGGCGACCGGCAAACGGGUGCGGAACACGUACACAACCUUCCUUUUAGUGGGGGAUAGCCCUGGGAAACUGGGAUUAAUACCGCAUAUAAUUCUGAUUUAUAAAAGGUUGGAAUGAAAGUUCAGGCGGCUAGAGAUGGGUGUGCGUCUGAUUAGCUAGUUGGUAGGGUAACGGCCUACCAAGGCGAUGAUCAGUAGGGGGCGUGAGAGCGUGGUCCCCCACACGGGUACUGAGACACGGACCCGACUCCUACGGGAGGCAGCAGUAAGGAAUAUUGGUCAAUGGGCGAAAGCCUGAACCAGCCAUCCAGCGUGCAGGAAGAAGGCCCUAUGGGUUGUAAACUGCUUUUGCCAGGGGAUAAACCCUUGGAUUCACUCCGAGGCUGAAGGUACCUGAAGAAUAAGCACCGGCUAACUCCGUGCCAGCAGCCGCAGUAAAAC